rnacentral:rRNA from 1 species
AACGAACGCUGGCGGCAGGCCUAACACAUGCAAGUCGAACGCCGUAGCAAUACGGAGUGGCAGACGGGUGAGUAACACGUGGGAACGUACCCUUCGGUUCGGAAUAACUCAGGGAAACUUGAGCUAAUACCGGAUACGUCCGAGAGGAGAAAGAUUUAUCGCCGAGGGAUCGGCCCGCGUCUGAUUAGCUAGUUGGUGAGGUAACGGCUCACCAAGGCGACGAUCAGUAGCUGGUCNGAGAGGAUGAUCAGCCACAUUGGGACUGAGACACGGCCCAAACUCCUACGGGAGGCAGCAGUGGGGAAUAUUGGACAAUGGGCGAAAGCCUGAUCCAGCCAUGCCGCGUGAGUGAUGAAGGCCCUAGGGUUGUAAAGCUCUUUUGUGCGGGAAGAUAAUGACGGUACCGCAAGAAUAAGCCCCGGCUAACUUCGUGCCAGCCGCCGCGGUAAG